rnacentral:rRNA from 1 species
UACAGAGGUCUCAAGCGUUGUUCGGAUUCAUUGGGCGUAAAGGGUGCGUAGGCGGCGCGGUAAGUCGGGUGUGAAAUCUUGGAGCUUAACUCCGAAACUGCAUUCGAUACUGCCGUGCUUGAGGACUGGAGAGGAGACUGGAAUUUACGGUGUAGCGGUGAAAUGCGUAGAUAUCGUAAGGAAGACCAGUGGCGAAAGCGGCUUCCUGGUCCAGUACCGACGUUCAGGCACGAAAGCGUGGGGAGCAAACAGG